GACGAACGCUGGCGGCGUGCUUAACACAUGCAAGUCGAACGGUGAAGCACCUUCCUUUUGGUGGGUGUGGCUGAGUGGCGAACGGGUGGGUAACACGUGAGUAACCUGCCCCCUUCUUCUGGAUAACCGCAUGAAAGUUUGGCUAAUACGGGAUCUUCUGGGUCUGUCGCAUGGCGGGCCUGGGAAAGCUAUUGUUUCGGUGUGGGAUGGGCUCGCGGUCUAUCAGGUUGUUGGUGGGGUGAUGGCCUACCAAGGCGGUGACCGGUAGCCGGCCUGCGAGGGUAGACGGCCACAGUGGGACUGAGACACGGCCCAGACUGCUACGGGAGGCAGCAGGGGGGAAUAGUGCACAGUGGGGGCAAGCGUGAUGCAGCGACGCCGCGGGAGGGAUGGAGGCCUGCGGGUUGUAAACCUCUUUCGCUAGUGAAGCAGGCCUGUCCCUUUUGUGGGUGGGUUGACGGUAGCUGGAGAAGAAGCGCCGGCUAACUACGUG
rnacentral:rRNA from 1 species